CAUCAGACAUUCCACCACCUUGUAUCCCUGCUUCAGAUGAGAUUAGCUGGCACUGGCUCCUGGCAUCCAUUAAUCUGGACAUUACCUGCAGGUUAGUUUUGCUCUGGUGUGAAUAUUAGAGCCCAUUCUACCAAAGCUUUGACUUCCUCACAGCUGUCAGUAUAACUGACAGAGACAGUAUAUUUAGAGCCCUGGAUUUAGCCUGAACUUGCUGGUUCUUGCCAUCUGCAGGAACAUGACCUGAAUGCUAAGUGAUUUAGGACAGUGCUCUGAACAAUCAAAAGAAUAGUGCAUACCCCAAAGGUUAUAUUAUACUGAUGAGCGUGAUUAAUGAAUUGACCUGUAAUUUCCCGCAGCAUUAGCUAGAGCAAUUACCUCCCUUCUUAUAUUAUAUUUAUGGAAAUGUAACAGGUCAGAGUGACUUGAUGCAUGGCUGAGGCAAGCAAAGACUUUUUUUGCAGUCAGGCUGGCUGGCAAGAAUCCUUCCUUCUUUAAAGCUCAAAUGUGAUACUGUCACUUGUCUCUUGCAGCCAUGAGAAAUCCAGGUAACUGGUGGCUGUCAGUCACCCCACACUCAUACAAGGAUUAUGGCAGGCAAAUUAUCUACAACACACAACAGAAGUCUACUCAGAAAUGCCCCUGAGAGGAUCCCUUUGAGUCCGUGAUGAUACAGCACUAGUAGCCAGAUUCACACAGGCAGAGAUUUUGACCUGCUGUAAGACUGACUGAUAUCAUAUCGUUCCCAUUGCUCAUGCUCAACUACUCUCACAGUUUUAACAAUAUAGCAGAUUAGCCCUUUAUUCAACAGCCCACUGCAAGCCCAUCUUUUGGCACUUAGUAAUCAUCUCCUGGUUUGCUAUAAAGCCUACUGAAAAUCCCCAACAGUCGUACUGAAUUCAGAGUCAAGCUUUCAACACACUGCUCCACUUCAGUGCCCUGCUAAGACCCAGCUCUACCCUGGACAAGCUCACAGAUGCAGGAAUUUGAAGGGAUUCUUCCGAUCCACCACCACAUUGUGACUUUCUGCAUAGAAAUGACAAGAUUGUUGAGCUGGUCACCAGGUUCAUCUGCUCCUGCUCUCAGACCCAGGCUUGUGCAACCAGAGAUUAUGUGGGAGUCCGCACAGACAGGAGCUGUGCUGCAGCAGUUUGAGAACCAUCUUAAGGAAAAAAGGAACUGUUGAGUGAUACAUCCAGAAAUGAAGCCGUCUAGGGAUACAUAAUGAGCAUCAAGGCUUGUGUGCUCAUUACCAGCUACUUGGACUUUGAAGCUGGGGUAACAAAGCAAUGAAAGUAUGCUCAAAUUAGUUGUUAAAUUGUUAAGCUAAAAGGAGAUUAAUUAAAACACCAUAAAACACUGCUGUUGAAAAGGAAAUGGAGAAGGCACUGACUUCUUGUUUUUACAGCAAAUAUAGUGCAGUGAAUUUGUGAUGAAGAGUUGUGACCACAGCAAAUUCCUGGAGGGAAGACUCUUUAAAAAUAACAACAACAAAACAACAGAAACAAGGGGUUUUAUGGUCUGUAUUUUACAGUAGCCUUCAGAGGUUUAUAGUCACGUUUAAAUCAGAUGCUAGCAAAAACUUGCUAGAUAUUAUAUGCGUGAACAUAUAGGCUUGUCUGGAAAUUGUUCAAGAAAAAUGGAUACUCUGUGGGGUGAAAUACAUCAUCACUAUGUCUAUUCAUUUCUAAUAUUUUUUUUACUUUUGAGUGAACAUAAUGAUGCUUUAGUAAGUGCUCCUCUAAAACACUGUGUGAUGUUCUCUAGCUGGAGUUGGGAGGGGCUGCUGUAACAAGCAGGAAGCAUCUAAAAUCAAGCUAUAAUCUAAAAUGUUUCUUUUCUAUUUGACUUGCUGCCGUCUCCCAUUCUGCAGAAUAAAAGCAAUUUUAUGCAACA
rnacentral:lncRNA from 1 species